rnacentral:rRNA from 1 species
UACGGGGGGUGCGAGCGUUGUCCGGAAUCACUGGGCGUAAAGGGCGCGUAGGUGGUUUGAUAAGGGUGUGGUGAAAGCCCGGGGCUCAACCCCGGGUCUGCCGUGCCGACUGUCAAACUCGAGGGCUGUAGAGGCAGACGGAAUUCCGGGUGUAGCGGUGGAAUGCGUAGAGAUCCGGAAGAACACCGGUGGCGAAGGCGGCCUGCUGGGCAGUAACUGACGCUGAGGAGCGAAAGCGUGGGGAGCGAACAGG